UACGAAGGGGGCUAGCGUUGUUCGGAAUCGCUGGGCGUAAAGGGCGCGUAGGCGGCCGAUCAAGUCGGGGGUGAAAGCCUGUGGCUCAACCACAGAAUUGCCUUCGAUACUGUUUGGCUUGAGACCGGAAGAGGUAAGUGGAACUGCGAGUGUAGAGGUGAAAUUUGUAGAUAUUCGCAAGAACACCAGUGGCGAAGGCGGCUUACUGGUCCGGUUCUGACGCUGAGGCGCGAAAGCGUGGGGAGCAAACAGG
rnacentral:rRNA from 1 species